GGCGAACGCUGGCGGCGUGCCUAACACAUGCAAGUCGUGCGACGGCUCGCCCCAAAAGGGCGGGUACGGAGCGGCAAACGGGUGAGUAACACGUAGCUAACCUGCCCGUCCGACGGGGAUAACCCCUCGAAAGGGAGGCUAAUACCCGACGGUCUCCCCGGGGCGGAAGCUUUGGGGAGUAAAGGCGCCGGGCGACCGGCGCCGCGGACGGAGGGGGCUGCGGCCCAUCAGCUAGUUGGUGGGGUAAUGGCCCACCAAGGCGAUGACGGGUAGGGGGCCUGAGAGGGUGGCCCCCCACACGGGGACUGAGACACGGCCCCGACUCCUACGGGAGGCAGCAGUGGGGAAUCUCGGGCAAUGCCCGCAAGGGUGACCCAGCGACGCCGCGUGCGGGAAGAAGCCCUUCGGGGUGUAAACCGCUUUUCUGGGGGAAGAAUAAGGCGGGGAGGAUAAUGCCCCGCCGAUGACGGUACCCCAGGAAUAAGGGACGGCUAACUACGUGCCAGCAGCCGCGGUAAGACGUAGGUCCCGAGCGUUGCCCGGAUUUACUGGGCGUAAAGUGCGCGUAGGCGGUUCAGGAAGUCCCCUGUGAAAGCCCGGGGCUCAACCCCGGGAGGCCGGGGGAUACUCCUGGGCUAGAGGACGGCAGAGGAGGGUGGAGCGGCCGGAGUAGCGGUGAAAUGCGUAGAUACCGGCCGAAAUCCCGAUGGCGAAGGCAACCCUCUGGGCCGGUCCUGACGCUGAGGCGCGAAAGCGUGGGGAGCGAACC
rnacentral:rRNA from 1 species